rnacentral:rRNA from 1 species
CCUACGGGCGGCAGCAGUGGGGAAUAUUGCACAAUGGGCGCAAGCCUGAUGCAGCCAUGCCGCGUGUGUGAAGAAGGCCUUCGGGUUGUAAAGCACUUUCAGCGGGGAGGAAGGCGUUAAGGUUAAUAACCUUGGCGAUUGACGUUACCCGCAGAAGAAGCACCGGCUAACUCCGUGCCAGCAGCGGCGGUAAUACGGAGGGUGCAAGCGUUAAUCGGAAUUACUGGGCGUAAAGCGCACGCAGGCGGUCUGUCAAGUCGGAUGUGAAAUCCCCGGGCUCAACCUGGGAACUGCAUUCGAAACUGGCAGGCUAGAGUCUUGUAGAGGGGGGUAGAAUUCCAGGUGUAGCGGUGAAAUGCGUAGAGAUCUGGAGGAAUACCGGUGGCGAAGGCGGCCCCCUGGACAAAGACUGACGCUCAGGUGCGAAAGCGUGGGGAGCAAACAGGAUUAGAUACCCGAGUAGUC